AAUCCGCUGAGCCGGUGGGUNAGCUCGAAAGAGAACCGGCGCACAGCCUGCUGCAUAGGCUGUCGUCAGCUCGUGUCGUGAGAUGUUGGGUUAAGUCCCGGAACGAGGCGNAAACCCUUGUCCUUAGUUGCUACGCAAGAGCACUCUAAGGAGACUGCCGGUGACAAACCGGAGGAAGGUGGGGAUGACGUCAAGUCCUCAUGGCCCUUAUGGGUAGGGCUUCACACGUCAUACAAUGGUCGGAACAGAGGGUUGCCAACCCGCGAGGGGGAGCUAAUCCCAGAAAACCGAUCGUAGUCCUGGAUUUGCACUCUGCAACUCGAGUGCAUGAAGCUGGAAUCGCUAGUAAUCGCGGAUCAGCAUGCCGCGGUGAAUACGU
rnacentral:rRNA from 1 species